GCCAGGGUAGCUCAGCCAGGUAGAGCGGUGGCCUCAUAAGCCACGGGUCGCAUGUUCAAAUCAUGCCCCUCGGCACCA
rnacentral:tRNA from 1 species